UACGUAGGGUGCAAGCGUUAAUCGGAAUUACUGGGCGUAAAGCGUGCGCAGGCGGUUUGUUAAGACAGAUGUGAAAUCCCCGGGCUUAACCUGGGAACUGCAUUUGUGACUGGCAAGCUAGAGUAUGGCAGAGGGGGGUAGAAUUCCACGUGUAGCAGUGAAAUGCGUAGAGAUGUGGAGGAAUACCGAUGGGCGAAGGCAGCCCCCUGGGCCAAUACUGACGCUCAUGCACGAAAGCGUGGGGAGCAA
rnacentral:rRNA from 1 species